AUUGAACGCUGGCGGCAGGCCUAACACAUGCAAGUCGAACGAGAGGCGGACGGGUGAGUAAUGUCUGGGAAACUGACUGAUGGAGGGGGAUAACUAAUGGAAACGGUAGCUAAUACCGCAUACCAUCGGAUGUGCCCAGAUGGGAUUAGCUAGGGGGUGGGGUAACGGCUCACCUAGGCGAAGAUCCCUAGCAGGUCUGAGAGGAUGACCAGCACCCCGGGAACGGAUCAACGGUCCGACCUCCUCCGGGAGGAACCAGUGGGUAAUCUUGCACAAUGGGCGCAAGCCUGUUGCAGCCAUGCCGCGUGUAUGAAGAAGCCCUUCGGUUUGUAAAGUACUUUCAGCGGGGAGGCGUUACCCGCAGAAGAAGCACCGGCUAACUCCGUGCCAGCAGCCGCGGUAAUUC
rnacentral:rRNA from 1 species